rfam:Triticum aestivum genome assembly, contig: Triticum_aestivum_CS42_TGACv1_scaffold_030754_1BL
GCCAAUUUUUGUUGGUGAUUCGUGUUCCUCACGGGGUAAUGGCUCGGACGCUAGAACCGAUUCUCUAGGGAUAUCCUGAUUGGUGGUGUUCUCGGUGCAAGAUUGUCCUGGAAACGCCACAUAUAUUC